rnacentral:lncRNA from 1 species
AAGACAUAAAAAUGUCCACUAAAGGGAAGGGUCUGUUUGCCAUUCUCUCUGGGCCGGGGGGACUCUGUUAAUGUAGAGAAGGACCAAACUGAUUGAAACACGGAAAUGAGUUUAGAAAGGAACUGAAGGAAAACGAGGGAAAUCCGCGACACCUUCGUUGCCUUCAAACAAGGUCAUUUCCUGCACGGGAUCGAUGGUUUCCUGUUUACUGCCUCCGAAGUCUGCGUGUACACUGGCUUUCUGGAAUCUGCAUGAUAAUUAAAUUCUUAUGAGCCU